rnacentral:rRNA from 1 species
GAUGAACGCUAGCUACAGGCUUAACACAUGCAAGUCGAGGGGCAGCAUGGUCUUAGCUUGCUAAGGCCGAUGGCGACCGGCGCACGGGUGAGUAACACGUAUCCAACCUGCCGUCUACUCUUGGACAGCCUUCUGAAAGGAAGAUUAAUACAAGAUGGCAUCAUGAGUCCGCAUGUUCACAUGAUUAAAGGUAUUCCGGUAGACGAUGGGGAUGCGUUCCAUUAGAUAGUAGGCGGGGUAACGGCCCACCUAGUCUUCGAUGGAUAGGGGUUCUGAGAGGAAGGUCCCCCACAUUGGAACUGAGACACGGUCCAAACUCCUACGGGAGGCAGCAGUGAGGAAUAUUGGUCAAAUGGACGAGAGUCUGAACCAGCCAAGUAGCGUGAAGGAUGACUGCCCUAUGGGUUGUAAAACUUCUUUUAUACGGGAAUAAAGUGAGCCACGUGUGGCUUUUUGUAUGUACCGUAUGAAUAAGGAUCGGCUAACUCCGUGCC